AUUGAACGCUGGCGGCAGGCCUAACACAUGCAAGUCGAACGAGUGGCGGACGGGUGAGUACUGUCUGGGAAACUGCCCGAUGGAGGGGGAUAACUACUGGAAACGGUAGCUAAUACCGCAUACCAUCGGAUGUGCCCAGAUGGGAUUAGCUAGUAGGUGGGGUAACGGCUCACCUAGGCGCCGAUCCCUAGCUGAUCUGAGAGGAUGACCAGCCACACUGGAACUGAGACACGGUCCAGACUCCUACUGAAGGCAGCAGUGGGGAAUAUUGCACAAUGGGCGCAAGCCUGAUACAGCCAUGCCGCGUGUAUGAAGAGGGCCUUCGGGUUGUAAAGUACUUUCAGCGAGGAGGCGUUACUCGCAGAAGAAGCGCCGGCUAACUCCGUGCCAGCAGCCGCGGUAAUAC
rnacentral:rRNA from 1 species